UUGGCAGUGAUUAUUUGCAUUUUACCAAUUGUUCCAACUGAAUUUUCCGGGUUGACAAAUGCAUUAUCGUUAAGUUUCAGCCUUGUAUGAGCCUU
rnacentral:snoRNA from 1 species